GACAGAGGGUGCAAACGUUGUUCGGAAUUACUGGGCGUAAAGCGCGUGUAGGCAGCUUAGCAAGUCGGGUGUGAAAGCCCUGGGCUCAACCUAGGAAGUGCACUCGAAACUGCUUCGCUUGAGUAUCGGAGAGGAAAGCGGAAUUCUCGGUGUAGAGGUGAAAUUCGUAGAUAUCGAGAGGAACACCAGUGGCGAAGGCGGCUUUCUGGACGAUCACUGACGCUGAGGUGCGAAAGCGUGGGGAGCAAACAGG
rnacentral:rRNA from 1 species